AGAACGAACGCUGGCGGCAGGCCUCAAACAUGCAAGUCUAGGGGGUGUAGCAAUACAUCACCGGCGGACGGGUGCGUAACGCGUGGGAAUGUACCUAUUGGUUCGGAACAACUGAGGGAAACUUCAGCUAAUACCGGAUACGACCUAGGCCGACAUCGGCCAUGGUGGAAAGUUUUUCGGCUAGGGAUGGACUCGCGGCCUAUCAGCUAGUUGGUGGGGUAAAGGCCUACCAAGGCGACGACGGGUAGCCGGCCUGAGAGGGCGACCGGCCACACUGGGACUGAGACACGGCCCAGACUCCUACGGGAGGCAGCAGUGGGGAAUCUUGCGCAAUGGGCGAAAGCCUGACGCAGCGACGCCGCGUGGGGGAUGAAGGCCUUCGGGUUGUAAACCCCUUUCAGCAGGGACGAAGCGAAAGUGACGGUACCUGCAGAAGAAGCGCCGGCUAACUACGCGCCAGCAGCCGC
rnacentral:rRNA from 1 species